rnacentral:rRNA from 1 species
GAAUUUUGGACAAUGGGCGAAAGCCUGAUCCAGCAAUGCCGCGUGCAGGAUGAAGGCCUUCGGGUUGUAAACUGCUUUUGUACGGAACGAAAAGCUUUGGGUUAAUACACUGGAGUCAUGAAGGUACCGUAAGAAGAAGCACCUGCUAAAUCAGUGCCAGCUGCCGCGGUAAUACGUAGGGUGCAAGAGUUAAUCGGAAGUACUAGGCGUAAAGCGUGCGCAGGCGGUUUUGUAAGACAGAGGUGAAAUCCCCGGGCUCAACCUGGGAACUGCCUUUGUGACUGCAAGGCUAGAGUACGGCAGAGGGGGGUGGAAUUCCGCGUGUAGCAGUGAAAUGCGUAGAUAUGCGGAGGAACACCGAUGGCGAAGGCAACCCCCUGGGCCUGUACUGACGCUCAUGCACGAAAGCGUGGGGAGCAAACAGG